UGGAAACAGCCUGAAUUCGCCGUAGC
rnacentral:piRNA from 1 species